rnacentral:rRNA from 1 species
CCUACGGGUGGCAGCAGUGGGGAAUAUUGGACAAUGGGCGAAAGCCUGAUCCAGCCAUGCCGCGUGUAUGAAGAAGGCCUUCGGGUUGUAAAGCACUUUCAGUGGGGAAGAAAGCCUUGGGGCUAAUACCCUCGAGGAAGGACAUCACCCACAGAAGAAGCACCGGCUAACUCCGUGCCAGCAGCCGCGGUAAUACGGAGGGUGCGAGCGUUAAUCGGAAUUACUGGGCGUAAAGCGCGCGUAGGCGGUCUGAUAAGCCGGUUGUGAAAGCCCCGGGCUCAACCUGGGAACGGCAUCCGGAACUGUCAGGCUAGAGUGCAGGAGAGGAAGGUAGAAUUCCCGGUGUAGCGGUGAAAUGCGUAGAGAUCGGGAGGAAUACCAGUGGCGAAGGCGGCCUUCUGGACUGACACUGACGCUGAGGUGCGAAAGCGUGGGUAGCAAACAGGAUUAGAUACCCUUGUAGUC